ACUGUUUGAUGAUGGCUCAGAGUGAACGCUGGCGGCGUGCUUAACACAUGCAAGUCGAACGAGAACGGUCCUAGCUUGCUAGGAUGUCAGCUAAGUGGCGGACGGGUGAGUAAUGUAUAGUUAAUUUGCCCCUUAGAGAGGGAUAACUACUGGAAACGGUAGCUAAUACCUCAUACUCCUUCUACCUUAAUGGUAGUUGGGAAAUGUUUUUUCGCUAAGGGAUGAGACUAUAUGGUAUCAGGUAGUUGGUGGGGUAAGAGCCCACCAAGCCUAUGACGCCUAGCUGGUCUGAGAGGAUGAUCAGCCACACUGGGACUGAGACACGGUCCAGACUCCUACGGGAGGCAGCAGUGGGGAAUAUUGCACAAUGGAGGAAACUCUGAUGCAGCAACGCCGCGUGGAGGAUGACGCAUUUCGGUGUGUAAACUCCUUUUAUAUGGGAAGAUAAUGACGGUACCAUAUGAAUAAGCACCGGCUAACUCCGUGCCAGCAGCCGCGGUAAUACGGAGGGUGCAAGCGUUACUCGGAAUCACUGGGCGUAAAGCGCGCGCAGGCGGCCAUUUAAGUUGGAUGUGAAAGCCUACGGCUCAA
rnacentral:rRNA from 1 species